UAGAUUAUAUCUUAAAAAAAGUAUUUCAUUUACAUUGAAAAGAUAUUAAUUAAUAAUUGAUCUAA
rnacentral:tRNA from 1 species